UGGGUGUUGCCCAAUUGGUGGCCAAC
rnacentral:piRNA from 1 species